GCUGUGGAGAGCAAAAACAAAUACGAGUAGAUAUUUUUUAUCAAAAGUAUGUUCGUUGAAGCAGCAA
rnacentral:sRNA from 12 species